rnacentral:rRNA from 1 species
AACCUCCGCAAUGUGAGAAAUCGCGACGGGGGGAUCCCAAGUGCCAUUCUUAACGGGAUGGCUUUUCAUUAGUGUAAAGAGCUUUUGGAAUAAGAGCUGGGCAAGACCGGUGCCAGCCGCCGCGGUAACACCGGCAGCUCUAGUGGUAGCAGUUUUUAUUGGGCCUAAAGCGUCCGUAGCCGGUUUAAUAAGUCUCUGGUGAAAUCCUGUAGCUUAACUGUGGGAAUUGCUGGAGAUACUAUUAGACUUGAGAUCGGGAGAGGUUAGAGGUACUCCCAGGGUAGAGGUGAAAUUCUGUAAUCCUGGGAGGACCGCCUGUUGCGAAGGCUUCUAACUGGAACGAUUCUGACGGUGAGGGACGAAAGUUAGGGGCGCGAACCGGAUUAGAUACCCGGGUAGUCCUAACUGUAAACGAUGCGGACUUGGUGUUGGGGUGGCUUUGAGCUGCUCCAGUGCCGAAGGGAAGCUGUUAAGUCCGCCGCCUGGGAAGUACGGUCGCAAGACUGAAACUUAAAGGAAUU